UAUUAAAAAAACUAUCAAAGUUUUUGUGUUCGUUUGUACACAUUUUCAAUUAUUGUAUAUUGGAUCGUUAAUUACGUUCAGUCUAGGAAACUACUUCUAGGCGGCGUCACUACACUUAAAUGACGCCAGUUUAUUAACAGUUAUUGCGGUACCAACAUGUGAUUAGGGCAUACCGUGCGAUAGGCCCUUGCGAAAGUUAUAAAAUGUAAUGCUCAUUGCUCGGAUCUAUAGCUAUCAUAUACACAUUAAUCGAUAUAUUAUCGUAGUAGGAAGCCCAAUCUAGGCAAUUAUGUACAAUAUGCUUGAAACUCGAGUAAUUAGUUUUUUUGUAACUUUCAAAAGGGUCUAUCGUACGACAUGCUUUAAUCACCUGUCGGUAGGCGUAUCAAGUCUUCGUUUCGAGAGUUUCCAGUUCAGUUACGCUAUCCCACGCAGCCUCCUGUUACGCCGCCAUUUCUAUAAGACAAAUCGGAAUUUAAAAAUCAGCUGCUUCUAUUGUAAAUAAACAAUCAGUGAUCGACCAAAUGUCGGAUUUUCUUGUUAGUUUUAUCUAAAGUUUGAGUUUUAUGGUCGGUUUCUUUCAUUUUAUUACACUAGUUUGUAGUUUUAUCACAAAUACAACAUGAAAUUUUCGUUUCAUGUAGAAAUGAUUUUCAUAAUAGAAAUAAAUCAGACACGAACUGCGUAUCGAAACAACGUUUUCCAAAAAAAAGCUGUGCCGUCGCAAUUUGUAGAAGAGCUAAAAAUCGAAAUUUCAUGAUGAAAAAUACUAAUUACGAAUCAGAAUUUGCUCAGAACAUUUUUAGUGAACUGCUUUUACAAAAUAAAAAAAAGGAACAAGGCUGUUCCAUUCAGCGAUAUCUCAAUUUUUAUAAUACAAUACAUCAAAUUGAGUUUCUCAUAUCCGACCAAAAUUUGGUAGAUAAAGUUACGGAGUCAACGAAUUCUCCCCCGGUUCCACCUCGAAGGUGGACGCGAAAUGAAGAGGAAUCACAGGCUGUGAUUAGAGUGAAGUCUAAACUGUUCUACGCUUGUUAAAAUUGGUAAACGACUUAGAGCACAAAACAAGCGUUUACGAGGCAUGGUUAAUAGCAUUGAAGCUUCUGAAAAACCGUUUUUUGAAGCGUCUCGUUUCCGAGACCACAAAGUUUCAACUAUAGAAUACAUUCUCUAACGAUUUCUUUCGAGAGUUAAGCCUUUGUAAGGCACGCUAACCAUUAUCAGAAAAAACUUCGAAGGUUUGCAACCACAUAGCAUUUUUAUUCGCUGAAGGGAUACGCCUACGUUCGCAAAACGUUUCGGAACUCGCUACACCAUCCACGAACAAUAAUUCAACACCAACAUGGAUGGCGUACAUGCAUUACCGCAGAAGCAUUGGCUGCAUUAAACAGAAA